UAAUACGAAGGGUGCAAGCGUUACUCGGAAUCACUGGGCGUAAAGCGUGCGUAGGCGGUUCGUUAAGUCUGUUGUGAAAGCCCUGGGCUCAACCUGGGAACUGCAGUGGAUACUGGCGAGCUAGAGUACGGUAGAGGAAGGUGGAAUUCCCGGUGUAGCGGUGAAAUGCGUAGAGAUCGGGAGGAACACCAGUGGCGAAGGCGGCCUUCUGGACCAGUACUGACGCUGAGGCACGAAAGCGUGGGGAGCAAACAGGAUUAGAUACCCUGGUAGUCCACGCCCUAAACGAUGCGAACUGGACGUUGGUUGCAACUUGGCAAUCAGUGUCGAAGCUAACGCGUUAAGUUCGCCGCCUGGGGAGUACGGUCGCAAGACUG
rnacentral:rRNA from 1 species